CGCACCUUGCGCUCCUUGGUAUUCCGAGGAGCAUGCCUGUUCGAGUGUCUUGAAGUCAUCAACCGGUCCCGUUUCUCUGCGGGAACCGGUUGGAUCUGGGGGUGUGCGGGUGCGAGCCCGCUCCCUUCAAAUGCUUCGGUUGGGCCUUUGGGUCGGACUUGACUUGGGCGUUGUACCAUCCUCGCUCUUGCGUCUUGCUGCCUUCCCUGUCCCGGAAACGGGAGCCCACCCCCGACUGCUGGCUAGAGCGGCGGUCGACCUUUUUGAAAUCUGACCUCGAAUCAGGUAGGACUACCCGCUGAACUUAA
rnacentral:misc_RNA from 1 species